GACGAACGCUGGCGGCGCGCUUAACACAUGCAAGUCGAACGGAAAGGCCUGCUUUCCCUUGUGGAUUGCGGGUACUCGAGUGGCGAACGGGUGAGUAACACGUGAGUGAUCUGCCCCCAACUUGGGUAUAAGCCUGGGAAACUGGGUCUAAUUCCCGAUAGGACUGCAGGGUGGUGCCUGUGGUGGAAAACGAUUUUCUAGUGGUUGGGGAUGAGCUCGCGGCCUAUCAGCUUGUUGGUGGGGUAAUGGCCUACCGAGGCGGCGACGGGUAGCCGGCCUGAGAGGGUGGACGGCCACAUUGGGACUGAGAUACGGCCCAGACUCCUACGGGAGGCAGCAGUGGGGAAUAUUGCACAAUGGGCGGAAGCCUGAUGCAGCGACGCCGCGUGGGGGAUGACGGCCUUCGGGUUGUAAACUCCUUUCGACCGCGAGGAAGCCACCUGGUUGGAAGGGUGGUGACGGUAGUGGUAGAAGAAGCACCGGCUAGCUACGUG
rnacentral:rRNA from 1 species